AAUUUGUUGAGGACAUAUAAAGUGAAUAUGAGCAUCAACACCUCCAGCCGUAACUAUUUUUCCCUCCGCUGCAAUAACUCCAGUACCUGGUCCAAUGAUAAUAUCAACAUUAUCUUGAGUAUUCGGAUUUCCUGCUUUUCCUAUUUUAGAAAACUUACCAUCUAUUAUACCAAUAUCAGCUUUAAUAAUACCCCAAUAAUCAAUAAUUAUUGCAUUAGUUAUAACGGUAUCAACGGCACCUUCUGCUUUUGAUAAUUGAGACUGUCCCAUUCCAUCUC
rnacentral:sRNA from 1 species